UCUCCGUUGGUGAACCAGCGGAGGGAUCAUUACAGAGUUGCAAAACUCCCAAACCAUUUGUUUAUCUACCUGUUUCGUUGCUUCGGCAGGCGGCUCUUCGGGGCCUUUGCUACCUGUAGUGCCUGCCGGAGUAUCCAAAACUCUUGUUAUUUUUGUUCUGUCUGAGUAAACUUUUAAUAGUUAAAACUUUCAACAACGGAUCUCUUGGUUCUGGCAUCGAUGAAGAACGCAGCGAAAUGCGAUAAGUAAUGUGAAUUGCAGAAUUCAGUGAAUCAUCGAAUCUUUGAACGCACAUUGCGCCCAUUAGUAUUCUAGUGGGCAUGCCUGUUCGAGCGUCAUUUCAACCCUCAAGCUCUCUUGCUUGGUGUUGGGGCUUCUGCGGCUUCGGCCGCAGGCCCUGAAAAACAGUGGCGGGCUCGCUAUAACUCCGAGCGUAGUAAUCUCUCUCGCUUUGGAAGUGUGGCGGUUCCCGGCCGUUAAACCCCCCAAUUUCUGAAAUGUUGACCUCGGAUCAGGUAGGAAUACCCGCUGAACUUAA
rnacentral:rRNA from 1 species